AAAUGGCUAUUUUCACUACCGGACUGGCUCCUGUCCAAAUGGUGGAAGGAUGGCUGGGUGCUAGAUAAGUCAGUCUGUGGGAAAAGGGCCCUGUUUUCUGUCCCGGGUGCAAAGGUGUCUGUUUUGGCUUUUCUGCGACCGACGGGGAAGUGUUAGCUAGGCCGAAACGCUCUUAAUGUGUCACCUCUGGUGUUAAUGGCGUUCCUGGAUAGGCUGUCCCUGUCCUGCCAGAUGGCUCCGUGUGUCAGACCCAGAAUCCCCUGUCACUCCUUGCCAUUGGUUGUCUUACAUCCACUAAGCGGCAAGGUGUCGAAAACAGCUUAUUUUUUACACCUCUGGCUCUGGCACGCUCCAGUGAAUUGUCCCUACAUUCCUUCCUGUCCCCCUGCUGUUCGGGCAAGUUUGUCUAACCCCUCCACCCUUUUUAAUUAUGUGUUUGCAAAUACCUAAUUUGCGAUGGAUUCACGAACUACAAGUACAAAUCGCAAAUACGUAUUCUGCCAAUGAAUCCGAAUUUAAGUUGUAAAUAUGAGCGUUUUGUACUAUGCAAUUUAAAUGCAAUUUGCAAAUGAAAACCUUUUAAAUAUAACGAUAGCUUGCGACACGAUUCGUACAACAAAAUGUGACUGAACGCAUAUCAACAACAUACAAGUCCGUUUAGAGUAACGUGAGAGACAGAUAUGGAACUUACACACACAGUUCGGGUCCUCGUGCAUCUGCUCUGCGCAUCUCCGCUGGUGGUCAGCCAGGGUCUCCACAGGACAGCAUGACUGCAGAGAAGCCAUACGCAUUCCGCCAUCCGCUGCCCGGACAAGCUGCGCUCUCCCGCGGCGUGGAAUGCAGCGCCCCCUCCUGGCUGUAAGUUUACUCAGCAGGAGGAGGUCAGGCUCCUGGACCAUAGUGGUGUCUCCUGCCCACGGGGAGACAAGGCGGCAGCACCAUCUUGCAUUUGACUAGAAGAUCUGGCAGGAUCUUCCUAGCGAAGCUACGAGGCCCCCCAGAGCUACUCAGGACUAUGACAUCGUGGCAGGCUGGUGCAGUGUGUGACCCAGAAUCCUUUGUGGUUCCUGCUGGAUCAGGAGAGGCAUGCCCUGUACUAAUUUCUGUGCUCUGAUGAACUCCCUCACAUUUUCACCUUCGGUCACGAGCUCAGAAACAGAGUCCAAAUUAGGACUCAAUCCCUGUGCAGCCCAGAUGAUGUGUGAUUGGAUAUUAUGGGAAAUUAGUCCCACCCUACACAUGCACUGUCACCGUGGCAGCCAUAUUGCAAAGUACUGUGUCUCUCUCUCUGGCAUCCCAGGUGGUGUGUUUUUCUCUGGAAUUAUGGGUAAAACUGCUCAGUCUUUCAAAGAAGUGUUUGUUAGCGAGCCCAUGGGGGUUUAGCAGCCAGGUGACCUUGGAUGUUUUUCUCUCCCUAUUUGGGAGUUUUUGGUUCCUCUCCUUCAUUGUCAUCCGGCUUUCUUUCUUUUCAUGUAUCUGUCCUCCCUCUUCCCCGUUUUAGUAUUACUCUGUAUAAAUGGUGUAGUGAUGUAUCGCAACACUCAUGUAAAGCACUUUGGGGUGAUUCUGUUGGGAAAGGCGCAAUAUAAAAAUAAAUAUAAUUGAAACUGGAUUGAAUC